AUUUUAUUAGUAUAAUUAGUAUAUUUGUUUUCCAAACAAACGGUUUAAGAUUUUUAAAUAAAGUA
rnacentral:tRNA from 1 species